GAAGCGGCGGCGGCGCCGGGCGGACGCGGCGGCGAUGGAGCCGGGAUACGGCGGCUAUGGCUCCUGGAGCACCGGGGCCACCGGCACCCAGGGUUCCUAUGGCACCAACACGACCAGCUGGCAAGGCUACGAAGGCUACGAGUUCUACAC